CCUUUCUCUUCCUUACAGUUUGCGGUAUCAAACAUGGAAUUCUCUACAUUUGUGAUGUCAAAUAUGGAGUUUAAGCUGCCACACAAUGUCAUACCAACACUGAGAAAAUUACCUGGAAAACAUCUAUUGACUGGAUGAGCUUGAAGUAGCAAACAUGGAUUUUAACCUUCUACAGAAUGGUAAAAUCGCACUGAGAAGAUUAACUGUAAACCACCUAUCGGCGCAUGGAUAUGAUCUUU